AUUGAACGCUAGCGGGAUGCUUUACACAUGCAAGUCGAACGGAGUGGCGGACGUGUUGGUAAUAUAUCGGACCGUGCCCGGUGGCUGGGGAUAACUACUCGAAACUGUUGCUAAUACCGCCUACUAUUGGAGCGGCCGAUAUCGGAUUAGCUAGUUGGUGGGGUAAAGGCUCACCAAGGCCACGAUCCGUAGCUGGUUUGAGAGGACGACCAGCCAAACUGGGACUGAGAAACGGCCCAGACUCCUAGGGGAGGCAGAAGGGGGGAAUUUUGGACAAUGGGGGAAACCCUGAUCCAGCCAUCCCGCGUGUAUGAUGAAGGCCUUCGGGUUGUAAAGUACGUUGGGCAGGGAAGCGGUAACUGCAGAAUAAGCACCGGCUAACUACGUGCCAGCAGCCGCGGUAAUAC
rnacentral:rRNA from 1 species